CGAGAAAGGAAAAGAUUAGGAAUGAGGAUAUCCGGGGUAAAGUAGGAGUAACCGAAAUUGAAGGAAAGAUGAGAGAAAAUCGGUUACGGUGGUUUGGACAUGUGCAAAGAAGGCCUACUGACGCUCCGAUUAGAAGAUGCGACUAUGGGACAGAGGUUCAGGGCCGAAGGGGUAGAGGAAGACCUAGGGAAAACUUUGGAAGAGACUCUAAGAAAAGACUUAGAGUACUUGGAUCUAACGAAGGACAUGACACAGGAUCGAGCACAAUGGCGUUCUAAGAUUCAUAUAGCCGAUCCCACUCAGUGACUUGGAUUUUCCAAGUCUCCAACCAAGAAGUUUUCCUCACUCGGGAAAUUAAGGGAACACUACCCCAACCUACAUGCUCCACUCAGAAAGCUUCAACAUACAAGCUUCAACAAAAGCAAAUUCAAAGAACUUAGCGAAGAAGGCUUUGGUGUAUUUAACACAAUACGUUGAAAUGAAGGAAAGCUUAUUUAUUGAUAUCCCCGAUAAGCUACAAAUAUGUACAUAUACAUGAGUCAAAAUAAACACACACAAGAGGGAGCCUUCACAAAGGUUGCUUAGGAGAAGUCUCAGCAGUCGGUAGAGCCCCAGAAAGAGAAGGCACCGGAGGGGGAUCAUUUGGAGCCUCAGUACUGGACAAAACCCUAGAAGGAGGAGGCAUCAGAGGUUGAUCAUUUGGAGCUUCAUUACGCGGUACAGCCCCAGAAGACGAAGGCAAUAAAUGCCUUUGGAACAAACCCACAAAUCUCUGAUGAUCAAGUAAAACCUGACCAUCAGUUUCCUUCAUCUGGUCAAGCUUCCUCUUCAUGUUUGUAGCAUAGUCAUGUGCGAGCCGGUGCAACUGUUUAUUCUCAUGCUUGAGCCCUCUAAUCUCCUGUUUGAGACUCAUUACUUCAGCCGCCAAUGAUUCAACUUGGCGGGUUCGAGCAAAUAGGCGUUGGGCCAUAUUAGACACAGAACCUGCACACUGAACACUGAGAGCCAGCGAAUCCUUAACAGCUAACUCAUCAGACCGUUUGGAAAGUAGUCUGUUAUCUUUGGGAGUGAGAAGGUUCCUGGCCACCACCGCAGCGGUCAUAUCAUUCUUCAUCACGGAAUCCCCAACGGUAAGAGGACCAGUUGGGGAGACAAAGGAUGGGCGCCAUAUGUUGUCUGGAGAAGGCGGGGCUGCCUCUUCAACAAGGUUCAAGUCAAAACGACGGUCGGAGGGGCCAGACAUUUUCAAAGGUGUUGAAGAGAGAAGAGGUCGGACAAAUCAAGAUCUUAGAAGUGCAAGAAUGAAGCUUCUACUGGUGGAGAUUCAAGUGUGCUUUGGAACUUAAUGCCAGCCUCUAUAUAAAAAUCUGCACUCGACGGAGCUUCAGAAAUCAAAGAGGCGCCUGCUCAGAAAUCGAAGAGGCGUUUGCUUUCUCAAAAGUUGGGCUGCUUAGAGAUCACGAGGGUUGAUCUCAGAAAUCGAAGAGCCGUUUGCUUUCUCAAAAGUUGGGCUGCUCAAAGACCACGAAGGCCGAUCUCAGAAAUCGAAGAGGCGCUCGCUUUCUCAAAAGCUGGGCUCCCUAGAGACCACGAGGGCCGAUCUCAGAAAUCGAAGAGGCACCUACUUUUCCAGCCUUGUCAGCACCUGUCACACGCACACUCAGCUUUGCGGAAAUUAUGGGCAUUCUGUCAAAGACUUCUGGGGAAGUAGAAAACACAUGAAUCUUACUGUUCAAUCACCCACUUCCCACACGCAACAAUAAGCUCAUGGGUACCACAGAUAACUUUGCCAAAGUUCUCUGCCAAAGUUGAGCACGUGAAGCUUGCAGCUCCCACUACAUCGCUCUGACCAAGAAGGGUAAAAGAAUAGCAAAGAAAACAGCACUAACAAAGUUUAGACCCAUAAAUUUUGAAGGUCUAGCUACCAUAUUAUUACCCACAAGGGUAAAGGAACAGUACCACUGCUGGAUAAUUGGAAAGUCCAUGUAUGUCAACCUCUGUGCUUCGUGGCAAGGUAGACUAGCAAACAUGCCCAACCUUUACUCACAUUCGAGAAAACACUCCCAAUAAGAUUGCUUGCUCCAAAAUCGAAGAGGCACCGUCCUCCGAAUCUAAAGAGCCAGACUCCCAACAUGACUACUUUCUUAAAAAUCGAAGAGAGGGUAAAGGAACAGUACCAUUGCUGGAUAAUUGGAAAGUCCCUGUGUGUCAACCUCUGUGCUUCGUGGCAAGGUAGACUAGCAAACAUGCCCAACCUUUACUCACAUUCGAGAAAACACUCCCAACAAGAUUGCUUGCUCCAAAAUCGAAGAGGCACCGCCCUCCGAAUCUCGAGAGCCACUCUCCCAACAUGAUUACUUUCUCAAAAAUCGAAGAGACUGCUCCCCGAAUCUCGAGAGCCAGACCCCCAGCAUGAUUGCUUUCUCAAAAAUCGGUGAGGCACCAUUCUCCGAAUCAAUCGAAGAGGCGCUCGCUUUCUCAAAAGCUGGGCUGCUCAGAGACCACGAGGGCCGAUCUCAGAAAUCGAAGAGGCACCUACUUUUCUAGCCUUGUCAGCACCUGUCACACGCACACUCAGCUUUGCAGAAAUUAUGGGCAUUCUGUCGAAGACUUCUGGUGAAGUAGAAAGCACAUGAAUCUUACUGUUCAAUCACCCACUUCCCACACGCAACAAUAACUCAUGGGUACCACAGAUCACUUUGCCAAAGUUCUCUGCCAAAGUUGAGCACGUGAAGCUUGCAGCUCCCACUACAUCGCUCUGACCAAGAAAGGUAAAAGAAUAGCAAAGAAACAGCACUAACAAAGUUUAGACACAUAAAUUUUGAAGGUCUAGCUACCAUAUUAUUACCCACAAGGGUAAAGGAACAGUACCACUGCUGGAUAAUUGGAAAGUCCCUGUGUGUCAACCUCUGUGCUUCGUGGCAAGGUAGACUAGCAAACAUGCCCAACCUUUACUCACAUUCGAGAAAACAGUCCCAACAAGAUUGCUUGCUCCAAAAUCGAAGAGGCACCGUCCUCCGAAUCUCGAGAGCCAGACUCCCAACAUGACUACUUUCUCAAAAUCGAAGAGAGGGUAAAGGAACAGUACCAUUGCUGGAUAAUUGGAAAGUCCCUGUGUGUCAACCUUUGUGCUUCGUGGCAAGGUAGACUAGCAAACAUGUCCAACCUUUACUCACAUUCGAGACAACACUCCCAACAAGAUUGCUUGCUCCAAAAUCGAAGAGGCACCGUCUUCCGAAUCUCGAGAGCCAGACUCCCAACAUGAUUACUUCCUCAAAAAUCGAAGAGACACUGCUCUCCGAAUCUCGAGAGUCAGACCCCCAGCAUAAUUGCUUUCUCAAAAAUCGAAGAGGGCAUCGUUCUCCGAAUCUCGAGAGCCAGAUACCACAGACCACUUUUUCAAAGUGCUCUGACAGAGUUAAAACAUGUGAAACUGGCAGCUCCCACUACCGUGUGCUAUGACCAAGCAGGGUAAAGGAAUAGCAUUACUACUUGUUGUUAGGGAGACGCCUAUAUAUGUCGACCUCCAUCCCCAACGGACAGGCAGACCUGCAAAAAUGCUCAACCCUUCAUCAUAUCUGAGAGGGCACUCCCAACAAAGCCUUUCGAAAUAUUCAGCUUUCUUUCCCCCCGAUAAUACCUCUGCAAACAAGCUAUACUAGAGCAAGAAUAUCUCAUAUCAUCAGGGUUAAAAGCAAGAGUAUCCCAUAUCAUGCUUUUUCCCUGUUUUUUCUUUUUGGCCUUGUUUUUUACCUGCAAGACAAGGAGAAAGAGAGCAAUCAGUCAGCACUUGGAAUCAAGCUUCCAGCCAGGAACUGACUGCCUGGAACCCCUUACCUGAUUACUUACCUGGCAUUGCUCUCGAGUACUCAUCUUCAUCAUCUUAUGUUUCCAGGGAAGAUUCCGCAUCUGCUUGAGGAACAGAUAGGGCAAGUGCGAAGGAUACAAGGAAGCAUGUGGAGACAAGCGUAACAGCACACGUGCCGAUACAUCCAUUACUCUGUCAAAAGCAAAAGUAUCCCAUAUCAGCAGGGUGGAACGUACUCUAGAUUUGAUGGACUUGUUUUGACCCUCAAAUUUCUUCAGUCGGCCUUAUACUCUGGAGGAAACCAGAAAACCCUCCAGCUCAGUUCAAGAAUAAGCCUGUGGAAAGUUACUUCUUCAAAAGCAAAAGUAUCUCAUAUAUCAUCUCUUCUCAUUUUUCUUCUCUUUAUCCUUCAUGCUGCUGCAAGAUGGGGAGAAGGUGAACAAUCAGUCGGAGCUCUGAUUGCUUACCUUGUCUGUCAACGCUUUCAGCAGACCCCCUAGCUCGGCGACUUGGGGGACUCCUACUACAUGGUUUGUAUCGCGCUUGACCAAGCCUGAAACUACAAGUAAGCUUCAAGUGAAAUUGAUACAUUACCUUGUGCAUCUCCACCAGUUAAAGAUACCACCCCUGGAUGGAGGAAGAGUACUUCCAGAGAAGAUGCCACAUCUACCUAUGAGACAGAUAAGGCAAGUCAAGACGACACCACACUCCGAUACUUAGAAGUUUCGUGAUUACGAGAUCAUUCUCCCACAAUAUUUCCUAAUGUCAUUUGUACUAAAUCAUUCACUCGUACUCACUAAAGGAGAGCUUGAACCUAUGUACUUGUGUAAACCCUUCACAAUUAAUGAGAACUCUUCUAUUCCGUGGACGCAGCCAAUCUGGGUGAACCACGUACAUCUUGUGUUUGCUUUCCUAUCUCUAUCCAUUUAUAUACUUAUCCACACUAAUGACCGGAGCAAUCUAGCGAAGAUCACAAAAAGCGACCGUUUUCGUUACCUAGGAUCUAUCUUGCAAGAGAACGGAGAAUUAGAUGGAGAUCUCAACCAUAGAAUACGAGCUGGAUGGAAAGAGUGCAUCCGGCGUGUUGUGUGACCGUCGUAGGCCACUGAAGCUCAAGGGAAAAAUUUUAUAGGACGACAAUAAGGCCAGCGAUGUUGUAUGGCAGAGAAUGUUGGGUGGUGAAGCAUCAACACGUACACAAAAUGGGUGUAGCGGAGAUGAGGAUGCUUCGUGGGAUGUGUGGGCACACGAGAAAGGAUAAGAUUGGGAAUGAGGAUAUCCGAGGUAAAGUAGGAGUAGCCGAAAUUGUAGGAAAGAUGAGAGAAAAUCGGCUCUGGUGAUUUGGACAUGUGCAAAGAAGGCCGACUGACGCUCCGGUUCGAAGAUGUGACUACGGGACAGAGGUUCAGGGCCGAAGGGGUAGAGGAAGACCUAGGAAAACUUUGGAAGAGACUCUAAGAAAAGACUUAGAGUACUUGGAUCUAACGGAGGGCAUGACACAAAACCGAGCGCAAUGGCGUUCUAGGAUUCAUAUAGCCGACCCCACUUAGUGGGAAAAGGCUUUGUUGUUGUUGUUGUUGUUGUUGUCUAAAGAUACAAAUGAUGAGAUCAUUUAC
rnacentral:lncRNA from 1 species